AGUUGAUUAAAAAAACCAAAAGUACACACAAGAAGAAAGAUAACUAACUGCCCUGGAUUGCAAAGACUGCGGUGGACCUCUUUCUCAGUGUCCAGUGUCCUGUGGCAUACAUUCAGGGCAAUACAU
rnacentral:snoRNA from 1 species